CAAGUCGAACGCGAAAGUCCCGCAAGGGAUAAGUAGAGUGGCAAACGGGUGAGUAACACGUGGGUGACCUGCCUUCGAGCGGGGGAUAACGUCCCGAAAGGGACGCUAAUACCGCAUAACAUCCUGCCUUUGAAGAGGUGGUGAUCAAAGCUGGGGAUCGCAAGACCUAGCACUCGAAGAGGGGCCCGCGUCCGAUUAGCUAGUUGGUGGGGUAAUGGCCCACCAAGGCAACGAUCGGUAGCCGGCCUGAGAGGGCGGACGGCCACACUGGGACUGAGACACGGCCCAGACUCCUACGGGAGGCAGCAGUGGGGAAUUGUUCGCAAUGGGCGCAAGCCUGACGACGCAACGCCGCGUGGAGGAUGAAGAUCUUCGGGUCGUAAACUCCUUUCGAUCGAGACGAAUUCCUCCGGGGUGAACAAUCCCGGAGGUUGACGGUACCGAGAGAAGAAGCCCCGGCUAACUCCGUGCCAGCAGCCGCGGUAAUACGGGGGGGGCAAGCGUUGUUCGGAAUUACUGGGCGUAAAGGGCUCGUAGGUGGCCAACUAAGUCGGACGUGAAAUCCCUCGGCUUAACCGGGGAACUGCGUCCGAUACUGGUUGGCUUGAGUUUGGGAGAGGGAUGCGGAAUUCCAGGUGUAGCGGUGAAAUGCGUAGAUAUCUGGAGGAACACCGGUGGCGAAGGCGGCAUCCUGGACCAAUACUGACGCUGAGGAGCGAAAGCCAGGGGAGCAAACGGGAUUAGAUACCCCGGUAGUCCUGGCCCUAAACGAUGAAUGCUUGGUGUGGCGGGUAUCGAUCCCUGCCGUGCC
rnacentral:rRNA from 1 species